GAUGAACGCUAGCUACAGGCUUAACACAUGCAAGUCGAGGGGAAACGACAUCAAAAGCUUGCUUUUGAUGGGCGUCAACCGGCGCACGGGUGAGUAACGCGUAUCCAACCUGCCCACCACUUGGGGAAACCUUGCAAAAUAAAAAUAAAUACCCAAUGAUAUCUCUAGAAAACAUCUGAAAAAGAUUAAAGAUUUAUCGGUGAUGGAUGGGGAUGCGUCUGAUUAGCUUGUUGGCGGGGUAACGGCCCACCAGGGGCAACAAUCAUAAGGUUCCUGAGAGGAAGGCCCCCCACUUGGAACUGAAACCCGGUCCAACCCCCUACGGGAGGAGCGNCAUUGAGGAAUAUUGGUCAAUGGACAAGAGUCUGAACCAGCCAAGUAGCGUGCAGGAAGACGGCCCUAUGGGUUGUAAACUGCUUUUAUAAGGAAAUAAAGUUAGUCUCGUGAGACUUUUUGCAUGUACCUUAUGAAUAAGGACCGGCUAAUUCCGUG
rnacentral:rRNA from 1 species